UUCAAGAUCUAUACCCAAGUUAUUUGUGGAAACAUUAAAGAGCCCUGAAAUUGAGCCCUGUGGAACCCCACUAGUGACUGGCCACCAUCUUAAUGUAACCCCACUUUGAGCCUGAUCCACCAGACAAUGGUUCAACUAUUGCAUUAUGUCUUUGUCUAGCUGUAUGCUGUACGUUUUGUCCAAAAAGAUACUGUGAGACACAGUACUGAAACCUUCGCUGAAAUCCAAAAGAUUUCAUCAAAUGGCUUCCCUCAGUCAACUAGAUGGUUAAUCUGUCAUAAAAAGAGAUUAAGUUCAUUAAACACUACUUUCCCAUUGUGAACCUGUGUUGGCUGUGGCCAAUGAGUGCAUUGUCUUUUGGGUGUUUUCCAGUAACUCCUCCAAUAAUCAAGUCUGCAGUUUUGCCAGGCACCGAAUUGAGGCUGACAGGCCUGUAAUUACCAACGUCUUCUUUCUCACCCUUCUUGAAAAUUGAGAUGUUUGCCAAUUUCCAAUCAACUGGGAGCUUCUCAGAUUCCCAAGACCAUUGAAAAAUAAUUGAGUGAGGUCUCACAGUGGCAUAAGGUAGCACUUAGUGCACCUAGGAUAAAUCCCAUCAGGCCCCUUAGAUUUCUUUGUGUCCACAAGAUAUAGGAGGAAGUCAUGAGAAAGUACUCAGAACUGGGCAAAUAAAACCAAGCGACAACUUCAGUUGGAAAAUCUUUAAGAGCAAGAGAAUGUCUUGAAAUUCAAAUUUAUUCACAGUGACUUCUAGCAAAAAUAAUAGCCACACAAAUUUUUGUUUACAAAGCCUUCAGCUCAUUAGAAGGCUGAUCAUCCUAAUAUGUUUAAGACAAAAGAAAAAGGAGGAAAAAAGGAGAGACCUUUCAAAAUACAACUGAGAAGACCAUGAGAUAUUCCAGAGUCCAUGUUAUUAUGUAAAUAAUCUCUUCUUGGAAAAGUUCACUGUGGCUAAGCCCAAGUUUCAAAUUUCAAGUUUCAAGUCAACCUUUUCAAGUUGUUAACUAAACUACACCACAUCUGAUUCUUCACUGGCAAUUUCCUGCAGGUUCACAUAAUUUACUGAGAAAUUUAUAUGUCUGUUACCAUUCAGAUUUGUUAAACUGUAAGUCUUCCACAUUCUGGAAAAAUCUAAAUGAAGUAUUACACUGGGGGGAAAAAAAUGCCAAGGUUACAGCUGAGACAAAUAAACUGAGAUAAGUAAAUAUUCACCCUGAGGAUAAGCCUUCUUAAAUGGCGCCAACGUUUUUCUCUUGAAAGUAUUUGUUUAUAAACAUCAGAAAAGGUCAAAUAUUUGUUGUUCAUUUGCACUCAGACAAUAACAUCACUACAAUAAAUAAAUAAAUAAAUAAAUAAAUAAAUAAAUAAUUCACCCCAGAAUUUCAGGUCAUUUGUGUAGUUCAUUUACUAAAGACAUCUUGUAUGUAUUACAUUCCAUAGUGGUGUUCAGAUACAUUUCUUCCAACAGGCCAAAACAUGUUCUUCAGAGAACCCACAGGAGGAAACAUCAGACAUAUUCUUUAAAUUCCUUCACUUGUUUCAAAAAAUGCAUUAAAAAUAUUGGAUAAAGGUUAAUAAGACAUACUGAUAAAACUAUAUGUAAUUUGGAAGUAAAGCACAUUUCAUCCAAAAAGAACUAUGGAAGUUAAAACUGAGUGUUAAUUUCUCAAUUUCUGCUGUGAUGACAAUGCUACAACUGCUUUACAUUUUUAGGGAGAAGAAGGGCUCUUCCACAAUAAGCUACUUCCAGAGCCAUUAUCCCCAAAGGAAUGAAUAGACAACUGUAUUCAGAAAGAGACAUUGUUAAUAAACUUGAGGGAAAGCAAACAGUUCUGCUGCCAUUACAUGAAUACUUCCAGUGAUUCAAAAUAAGCU
rnacentral:lncRNA from 1 species